UACGGGGGGGGUAAGCGUUGUUCGGAAUUCCUGGGCGUAAAGGGCUCGUAGGCGGCCAACUAAGUCGGACGUGAAAUCCCUCAGCUUAACUGGGGAACUGCGUCCGAUACUGGAUGGCUUGGAUUUGGGAGAGGGAUGCGGAAUUCCAGGUGUAGCGGUGAAAUGCGUAGAUAUCUGGAGGAACACCGGUGGCGAAGGCGGCAUCCUGGACCAAUAUUGACGCUGAGGAGCGAAAGCCAGGGGAGCAAACGGG
rnacentral:rRNA from 1 species